GGAACUGUGGCUCAAGUGGUAGAGCAUGAGCCUUUAUCAGAAAAGCUCAGGGCCAGUUCCA
rnacentral:tRNA from 1 species